rnacentral:misc_RNA from 1 species
GAAAUGCGAUAAGUAAUGUGAACUGCAGAAUUCAGUGAAUCAUCGAAUCUUUGAACGCACAUUGCGCUCGCCAGUAUUCUGGUGAGCAUGCCUGUUCGAGCGUCAUUUCAACCAUCAAGCUCUGCUUGCGUUGGGGAUCCGCGGCUGCCCGCGGUCCCUCAAAAACAGUGGCGGGCUCGCUAGUCACACCGAGCGUAGUAACUCUACAUCGCUAUGGUCGUGCGGCGGGUUCUUGCCGUAAAACCCCCAAUUUCUAAGGUUGACCUCGGAUCAGGUAGGAAUACCCGCUGAACUUAAGC